rnacentral:rRNA from 1 species
GAUGAACGCUGGCGGCGUGCUUAACACAUGCAAGUCGAACGGGAUCCAUCAGGCUUUGCUUGGUGGUGAGAGUGGCGAACGGGUGAGUAAUGCGUGACCGACCUGCCCCAUACACCGGAAUAGCUCCUGGAAACGGGUGGUAAUGCCGGAUGCUCCGACUCCUCGCAUGGGGUGUCGGGAAAGAUUCAUCGGUAUGGGAUGGGGUCGCGUCCUAUCAGGUAGUCGGCGGGGUAACGGCCCACCGAGCCUACGACGGGUAGCCGGCCUGAGAGGGCGACCGGCCACAUUGGGACUGAGAUACGGCCCAGACUCCUACGGGAGGCAGCAGUGGGGAAUAUUGCACAAUGGGCGCAAGCCUGAUGCAGCGACGCCGCGUGCGGGAUGACGGCCUUCGGGUUGUAAACCGCUUUUGAUCGGGAGCAAGCCUUCGGGUGAG